rnacentral:rRNA from 1 species
AACGCUAGCUACAGGCUUAACACAUGCAAGUCGAGGGGCAGCAUCAUCAAAGCUUGCUUUGAUGGAUGGCGACCGGCGCACGGGUGAGUAACACGUAUCCAACCUGCCGUCUACUCUUGGCCAGCCUUCUGAAAGGAAGAUUAAUCCAGGAUGGCAUCAUGAGUUCACAUGUCCGCAUGAUUAAAGGUAUUUUCCGGUAGACGAUGGGGAUGCGUUCCAUUAGAUAGUAGGCGGGGUAACGGCCCACCUAGUCAACGAUGGAUAGGGGUUCUGAGAGGAAGGUCCCCCACAUUGGAACUGAGACACGGUCCAAACUCCUACGGGAGGCAGCAGUGAGGAAUAUUGGUCAAUGGGCGAUGGCCUGAACCAGCCAAGUAGCGUGAAGGAUGACUGCCCUAUGGGUUGUAAACUUCUUUUAUAAAGGAAUAAAGUCGGGUAUGCAUACCCGUUUGCAUGUACUUUAUGAAUAAGGAUCGGCUAACUCCGUGCCAGCAGCCGCGGUAAUACGGAGGAUCCGAGCGUUAUCCGGAUUUAUUGGGUUUAAAGGGAGCGUAGAUGGAUGUUUAAGUCAGUUGUGAAAGUUUGCGGCUCAACCGUAAAAUUGCAGUUGAUACUGGAUGUCUUGAGUGCAGUUGAGGCAGGCGGAAUUCGUGGUGUAGCGGUGAAAUGCUUAGAUAUCACGAAGAACUCCGAUUG